UGGAUUGCACGUCGCCGAAGGAUUUGUUUUUGGAAUUUCUAUCGAUGGAAUGCCAUGGUUCGACUUGUUAGGUUCUGGAAAUUUGGGAGCCCAGAUCAAGAGAUUCUCUACUCCCUUUUCUACCUAUGUUGUUGGAUUGGUGAACAAAGUCACCCAUGUUUUUCCUCCUUCUGGUAAUGCUAGGAGCCAGAAACAGCACGUGUGUUAGUGUAUAUCACACAUGGCAGCAAGCAUGCCAUCGCUACCCUGUGGGAGGACUAGGCUGAUUUACUUGAUGCCAAUGGAUUGGAUUUAUUUGUUAGUCAGUACUCAGGUUUGUUGGUCUUCAAAAGUACAUCUGUUACAAGGUGGCAUGUUAAUGGGCCGAUUCCUGAGAUUGCUGUUGUCCGAGAGAGGUAAAUCUGAAGGCAAGGAUAUCAACUCAAUGGUCAAUGCACUGUGUAUGCUGGAAUCUUCAACGACUCUUAUCCAUGACCAGUUAUUGAGGUGAAGUGGCUGACAUGGUUUUGUUUCUAGCUUUGAAAGAAUAUCAUUCGACCGAAGAGGGGCCCGGAAUAAUCUCGACAAGCUGUUUACAUAAUAGACAGUUUUUCUUUCAUUAGUUCAAUGUCUCUGCUACAUGGGUACUCCAUAGAUGAAGGUUCAUGAAUUGUGUCAACUUAUUUCUUAAAAAAUGCAUUAUCGUAGCUUUUAAGAAAUUAUCUAGGAGGUUUUGUUUCGAGAGAAUAUGAUAUUCAGCCUAAACUAAAAAAAGAAUUAAAAUUAUUUUAUUUAGCCAUGAAAAUACGAAGUAUGCUUUUAAAGUUGAGAAGCUUAGCCCUGGGAUGUUGCAAGUAUCUCCUUUUCUCAUUAUCUUCCAAUUUGUAUUAUAUGUGACCUGAAUUAUUUAUGCAGAGUAUGGUUUACGUUAAAUUUUACUAGAGAGGUUCAUACAUAGAAUUGCAAGUCAAACCCUGAAUACCUGCGCAGUGGUUUUUCAUCUGGGUUCAGGAAGCAUGAAGAGGAGAAACACUAUUACGGACCUUCAAAGGCAAGGAAUGUAUAUCCACAAUACAUUAUUUUACCCAUGAACUUUGUAUUCUACAAACAUAUGAUGCUUUCUUUCGGGCUCC